rnacentral:rRNA from 1 species
UACGCAGGGGGCUAGCGUUGCUCGGAAUCACUGGGCGUAAAGGGUGCGUAGGCGGGUUUUUAAGUCAGGGGUGAAAUCCUGGAGCUCAACUCCAGAACUGCCUUUGAUACUGAGGAUCUUGAGUUCGGGAGAGGUGAGUGGAACUGCGAGUGUAGAGGUGAAAUUCGUAGAUAUUCGCAAGAACACCAGUGGCGAAGGCGGCUCACUGGCCCGAUACUGACGCUGAGGCACGAAAGCGUGGGGAGCAAACAGG